UAACCAUGAUUCCCCUAGUAACGGCGAGUGAAGAGGGAAAAGCUCAAAGUUGGAACCUGGCUGCCCUAGGCAGUCCGGAUUGUAAACUAAAGAGCGUGAUUCCAGGCAAGCCGGUUGACCAAGUCCUUUGGAAUGAGGCGCCACUGAGGGUGAGAGCCCCGUAAGUCGACUGAGCAUUUGUCUUUUGUGCUUCGCGUUCAAAGAGUCAGGUUGUUUGGGAAUGCAGCCUAAAGCUGGUGGUAAAUCCCACCUAAAGCUAAAUACAGGCGAGAGACCGAUAGCGAACAAGUACCGUGAGGGAAAGAUGAAAAGAACUUUGAAAAGAGAGUUAAACAGUAUGUGAAAUUGCCAAGAGGGAAGCAUUUGGAGUUAGAUUGACUAGGAGUUAAUCAGCUUGGUCUUUGGACUGGGUGUACUUGACUUCUUACAGUCUGCCAAUAGCAGUUAGUCCUAGUGGAAAAAACCAGAGGGAAGGUAGUCCUUCGGGAUGUUUAUAGACCUUUGGAAAAUACACUGGGAUUGACUGAGGAAUGCAGUAGAUGCCACUAAGGCUUCGUCUAGUGGGUGCUAGGCAAAGGUACUUGGUAUUUUCAGCUUGCUGAUGUGCUAGGUUACUCGAGUCUAGUCGCCUACUAGAACUGUAAUCUACUUUGGUUAUUGGCUUAAUGACUCUAAAUGGC
rnacentral:rRNA from 1 species